rnacentral:rRNA from 1 species
UACGGAGGGAGCUAGCGUUGUUCGGAAUUACUGGGCGUAAAGCGCGCGUAGGCGGCUUUGUAAGUUAGAGGUGAAAGCCCGGGGCUCAACCCCGGAAUUGCCUUUAAGACUGCAUCGCUAGAAUCCGGGAGAGGUGAGUGGAAUUCCGAGUGUAGAGGUGAAAUUCGUAGAUAUUCGCAAGAACACCAGUGGCGAAGGCGGCUCACUGGCCCGGUACUGACGCUGAGGUGCGAAAGCGUGGGGAGCAAACAGG